AUUAGUGCAUGAUGGCGUGCAGCUGAUGACUGAAUGUGUAUCAGGUGUGUCGGUGCUGCCUUCUCUCUCUUUGUCGCUCUUCCACACAGUCAACACGUCGCAUUAUCGUUCAGACGCAGGAAACAAGCAGCAACAGCUCAAACACACAAACGUAAAGUCGUUUUUAAUACGAAGUUGAAAAAUGUUCCGGAGAUUCUGACUGAGGAAGACCGUUUUUUAUUUUGUUUUUAAAAACGCCGCGCUGCCCACAUCACCGCGUGUGACGUCAGACCCUCGAAGAAGCGCCAUUAAUUCCAACACUGGUGUGGUUAUACUUUAUAUUAUUACCUUGUUUAGCGUUACUAAUGUGGGCAGAAGGCGAGAGACUGUUUUAUACCUGGCCCAGAUUCAUGAGUCAUCCUGAAAGUUCCUCGAGAUCAUGCUGAGCACACCUGCCUUUACAACACACCUGAGAAUCACUGAACAGGUUGAAACUUCAUGAAGAUCUUCAAACAGUAAGGGGUCAUUCUUUUUAUCGUGGGUGUUGCUGUACUCCCACUUUAUCCUGUUGCUUGGCCAUAUGUGUACAUUUAAUAUGGCCGCCGUGCCAUUCUGACUUGUUCUUUUAGAAUAGAAUACAAUAGAAUAUCUUUAUUUGUCAUUGUAAUAGGUACAACAAAAUUAAGUGUAUUCCUAUGGACAUAAAAAAGCCAUAUCCCACCCAUACGCAUCCACAUUCAUAAGAUGUAAAACAUAAAAGCUAUGCUUUGGUUUUUAACACAGUGAUCUAUCAACUAUUUUGAUGGCAUGUCCACAUCUAAGUCUCCUUUUAUUUCUUGAAUAGCUGUGGAGAAUAACACGUGGUACAAUAACCAUGAGCAGUGUAAAUAAUUCAAAAUGAAUCUGCCUGUACUCUUUCUGCACUGCCCAUUAGUCGAAAGUGCAGUCUUAAAUCCAUCACCCCCAAAAUGUAUUGUUCUUUGUGGUUCACUUUAGAAGUGUAGGGCUGGCUUGUCUAUCUCUGCCAAAUUGGCUUUUAUCUGGAGACUAAUUUUCUGUAUUUCUGUUUUAUCCGUGUAUUAUGUUGGGAGGCCUCCCAUCAGGGGAAUUUAACCUACCCCUGCAAAACUUUGCGACGCUUUUGAAGGAUAUUUAAUAUAGGAAUAUAAUAUUUAAUUCACCUAACUUGACGGUUUCAUACUUGGAAUUCACCGCACUUGAUGGGUAGAGUACUGAAUAGACGCGUGUUUAGGUUCUCUGGAGACGAGCAAAUUUGGCAGAGACAGAUUUAUUGAUAUGUAGCAGAUGUACACCAAAUUCUAUCUACUAUACCAAGUUACCUGCUAUUAACCUACUUGAAAUUAAAACAUUAUACCAUGGGCUGAAAUCCACAGGUCUCGUGUGUUCAAGGGCAUUAGUAAUGGGGCUAUAUACUAAGAUGUGCAGCUGUUUGUUUUUGCUAUGGGACAUUGGCUUGUGAAAUGCGCCUCAUCUUAUCAGAAUUUGGUCAUUUAACUUUACCACGUUUAAUUGACUGAGACGACUAAGCAUGAUUUUAUUUUAUGAUGGGCUAUGGGAAACCUACACACCUGAAUAUUUAAUUGUAUCAUCAUAUUAUCUGUAACUGUCACCAAUCAU